UACGGAGGGAGCUAGCGUUGUUCGGAAUUACUGGGCGUAAAGCGCGCGUAGGCGGCUUUGUAAGUUAGAGGUGAAAGCCCGGGGCUCAACCCCGGAACUGCCUUUAAAACUGCAUCGCUUGAAUCCGGGAGAGGUGAGUGGAAUUCCGAGUGUAGAGGUGAAAUUCGUAGAUAUUCGGAAGAACACCAGUGGCGAAGGCGGCUCACUGGCUCGAUACUGACGCUGAGGUGCGAAAGCGUGGGGAGCAAACAGG
rnacentral:rRNA from 1 species